rnacentral:lncRNA from 1 species
AUUCCGGAAUGAUGAUGAUCUCAAAACCUUUCCUGGUGGUAGUACAAAUUACCGUCGCGUGUCACUGGAUAUGCUCUCCUCUGCAGUAUUUGUUGGCUUUGUUGUUUCGCAAAGUCUUGUUAAGUUGGUUUAAGUUGAUAGUUAUACGACUGGAAAAGAGAUAUAACGUGAUGAUCUCUCUUGCAAGCAGAUGCAUCUCACUGCACACGUUACAAAAAAAACUACAUUACACAGUAUAGCAUACAUUUGAUUUUGCAGGCUUCGGUUGCUUCUUCUCAAAAAAAAAAAACACAUUUCAUUCGGUAGGAGAUUCCAAGAGCCCUCCCUCGAUAGUCGACACACCAUAGUAUGUGAAUUAGUAGCUUGUAAUAUUGACGAGACCACAAGCUUCUGCAAUGGCCGCAUAUUCAGACAGACAUCAAAUUAGAGACGACAUC